AGGACUAACGCUGGCGGCGUGCCUAACACAUGCAAGUCGAACGAAGUAGCAAUACUUAGUGGCAGACGGGUGAGUAACACGUAGUCAACCUGCCCUUCAAUGGGGGAUAACUAGCCGAAAGGUUAGCUAAUACCGCAUACGAUCUCUGAGUGGCAUCACUCGGCGAUGAAAGGAGUAAUCCGUUGAAGGAGGGGACUGCGUCCCAUUAGUUAGUUGGUGGGGUAAUGGCCUACCAAGACUCCGAUGGGUAGCUGGCUUGAGAGAGCGACCAGCCACACUGGAACUGAGACACGGUCCAGACUCCUACGGGAGGCAGCAGUGAGGAAUUUUCCGCAAUGGGGGAAACCCUGACGGAGCGACGCCGCGUGUGGGAAGAAGGCCUUCGGGUCGUAAACCACUGUCGAGGGGGACGAGUAUUGACGGUACCCCUGGAGGAAGCCCCGGCUAACUACGCGCCAGCAGCCGC
rnacentral:rRNA from 1 species